rnacentral:misc_RNA from 1 species
UACGUAGGGUGCGAGCGUUAAUCGGAAUUACUGGGCGUAAAGCGCGCGUAGGCGGGCUGUUAAGUCGGGGGUGAAAUCCCGGGGCUCAACCCCGGAACGGCCCUCGAUACUGGCAGUCUGGAGGUCGAGAGAGGCAAGUGGAAUGGCGAGUGUAGAGGUGAAAUUCGUAGAUAUUCGCCGGAACACCAGUGGCGAAGGCGGCUUGCUGGCUCGAACCUGACGCUGAGGCGCGAAAGCGUGGGGAGCAAACAGG